AUGGAAUCAUUCCCUUCGGCUCUUACCUGGGAUCGUCCUAGACGACGUCCGCUCUUCGCCAGACCACAACAGCCGACGGCGCUCGGUUUAGGCUGGCAGCGGCUUGCAUCCUCGCAUUCCACAGCGCGAGCGAGGCAACGCCCUCCGGCGCGCAGCCAGGCGUGCAGCGCGUGCGCGCUGUACUCCGGCUCUGGCGCGGCCCGGCAGAGCGUUUUGGCGAUGCACUCCCCGGCGACGGCGCUGCCGCACAUCGAGUCGCAUCGCGACGAUGGCAUCUGUUUCCUUUGGCCUUGGCCCCGCGCUGGACUGGGACACCGGAACCACCGGUUUCGCAGCCGCUCCGCGACGCGGUCGCUGCCCGCGCGGAGGCACCUGAGGCCGCGGCUCCUAGACCGUCCUCCGCGGUGA
rnacentral:rRNA from 1 species